rnacentral:rRNA from 1 species
UGGCGCACGGGUGAGUAACACGCAGGUGACCAACCUUUUGUUUGGGAUAACAAGAAGAAAUUUUUGCUAAUACCGAAUAAGCUUAACAAAACUGAAAGUAGUUAAGGAAAGAUGGCCUCUGUUUCAUGCUAUCGCUGAAGGAUGGGCCUGCGGGCCAUUAGCUUGUUGGUGGGGUAACGGCCUACCAAGGCUCUGAUGGUUAGCCGGUCUGAGAGGACGAUCGGCCACACUGGAACUGAGACACGGUCCAGACUCCUACGGGAGGCAGCAGUAGGGAAUAUUGCGCAAUGGAGGAAACUCUGACGCAGCAAUGCCGCAUGAGUGAGGAAGGUUUUCGGAUUGUAAAGCUCUGUCAAUGGGGACAAACAGAUUUACGGUUAAUACCUGUAAGUUUUGAUGGUACCCAUAAAGGAAGCACCGGCUAACUUCGUGCCAGCAGCCGCGGUAAUACGAAGGGUACAAGCGUUGUUCGGAUUUAUUGGGCGUAAAGCGCGCGCAGGCGGAUUUAUAAGUCAGGUGUGAAAUCUCGGGGCUCAACCCCGAAACUGCGCCUGAAACUGUGGAUCUAGAAUCUCGGAGAGGGAAGGGGAAUUUCACAUGUAGGGGUAAAAUCCGUAGAGAUGUGAAGGAACACCAGAGGCGAAGGCGCCUUCCUGGACGAGUUAUUGACGCUGAGGCGCGAAAGCGUGGGGAGCAAACAGGAUUAGAUACCCUGGUAGUCCACGCUGUAAACGAUGAGCACUAGUCAUGG